rnacentral:rRNA from 1 species
CUGGCGGCGUGCUUAACACAUGCAAGUCGAGCGGUAAGGCCCUUCGGGGUACACGAGCGGCGAACGGGUGAGUAACACGUGGGUGAUCUGCCUCGCACUCUGGGAUAAGCCUGGGAAACUGGGUCUAAUACCGGAUAUGACCACGGAUCGCAUGGUUUGUGGUGGAAAGAUUUAUCGGUGCGAGAUGGGCCCGCGGCCUAUCAGCUUGUUGGUGGGGUAAUGGCCUACCAAGGCGACGACGGGUAGCCGACCUGAGAGGGUGACCGGCCACACUGGGACUGAGACACGGCCCAGACUCCUACGGGAGGCAGCAGUGGGGAAUAUUGCACAAUGGGCGAAAGCCUGAUGCAGCGACGCCGCGUGAGGGAUGACGGCCUUCGGGUUGUAAACCUCUUUCGACAGGGACGAAGCGCAAGUGACGGUACCUGUAGAAGAAGCACCGGCCAACUACGUGCCAGCAGCC